AUUAUAUACCAGAAGUCAGUUCUCCAUUCAUUUGGAAGGCUCCGCGAGGAAGAAGGCGUCGGCAUGCGCCCUACCCGUGUAGUAAACUGAAGGGUAAAAAGGCCUGGGUGGUGUUCUUUGUGAUCCUGUCCAUCUUGCUGGUGUCAACACUGAUCAUCUUGCUCUGGAUUCUUUUGAUGUGAGACUGUCUUCAUUGCCAAUGGGCUUUUGGGUGUUCAAAGAUGAGGUUUUAAUGUUUAAGUAAGAAUGAUGCCUGGGAAUAAAUCACUUGUGCACUUGUCUCUGAA